GACCCUUUUUUUUUUUUUUUUUUUUUUUUUUUUUUUUU
rnacentral:ribozyme from 1 species